GGAGGUUACUGCUAUCGGUGUUCGCCUAACCCAUGCAAGUCAUAUGUUCUUCGUGAACAUGGCGUACUGCUCAGUAACACGUGAAUAACCUGCCCUUGGGACCGGCAUAACCCCGGGAAACUGGGGAUAAUUCCGGAUACCGCAUAUAUGCUGGAAUGCUUUAUGCGUGAAAUGGAUUCGUCUGCCCAAGGAUGGGUCUGCGGCCUAUCAGGUAGUAGUGGGUGUAAUGUACCUACUACCCUACAACGGGUACGGGUUGUGAGAGCAAGAGCCCGGAAAUGGAUUCUGAAACAUGAAUCCAGGCCCUACGGGGCGCAGCAGGCGCGAAAACUUUACAAUGCGGGAAACCGUGAUAAGGGGACAUCGAGUGCCAGCAACAUUUGUUGGCUGUCCAGGUGUGUAAACUACACCUGUUAGCAAGGGCCGGGCAAGACCGGUGC
rnacentral:rRNA from 1 species